rnacentral:rRNA from 1 species
GUAGGUGGCAAGCGUUGUCCGGAAUUAUUGGGCGUAAAGCGCGCGCAGGUGGUUCUUUAAGUCUGAUGUGAAAGCCCCCGGGCUCAACCGGGGAGGGUCAUUGGAAACUGGGGAACUUGAGUGCAGGAGAGGAAAGUGGAAUUCCACGUGUAGCGGUGAAAUGCGUAGAUAUGUGGAGGAACACCAGUGGCGAAGGCGACUUUCUGGCCUGUAACUGACACUGAGGCGCGAAAGCGUGGGGAGCAAACAGGAUUAGAUACCCCUGGUAGUCCACGCCGUAAACGAUGAGUGCUAAGUGUUGGGGGGUUUCCGCCCCUCAGUGCUGCAGCUAACGCAUUAAGCACUCCGCCUGGGGAGUACGGCCGCAAAGACUG